rnacentral:rRNA from 1 species
CGGCCGUAACUAUAACGGUCCUAAGGUAGCGAAAUUCCUUGUCGGGUAAGUUCCGACCUGCACGAAUGGCGUAAUGAUGGCCAGGCUGUCUCCACCCGAGACUCAGUGAAAUUGAACUCGCUGUGAAGAUGCAGUGUACCCGCGGCAAGACGGAAAGACCCCGUGAACCUUUACUAUAGCUUGACACUGAACAUUGAGCCUUGAUGUGUAGGAUAGGUGGGAGGCUUUGAAGUGUGGACGCCAGUCUGCAUGGAGCCGACCUUGAAAUACCACCCUUUAAUGUUUGAUGUUCUAACGUUGACCCGUGAUCCGGGUUGCGGACAGUGUCUGGUGGGUAGUUUGACUGGGGCGGUCUCCUCCUAAAGAGUAACGGAGGAGCACGAAGGUUGGCUAAUCCUGGUCGGACAUCAGGAGGUUAGUGCAAUGGCAUAAGCCAGCUUGACUGCGAGCGUGACGGCGCGAGCAGGUGCGAAAGCAGGUCAUAGUGAUCCGGUGGUUCUGAAUGGAAGGGCCAUCGCUCAACGGAUAAAAGGUACUCCGGGGAUAACAGGCUGAUACCGCCCAAGAGUUCAUAUCGACGGCGGUGUUUGGCACCUCGAUGUCGGCUCAUCACAUCCUGGGGCUGAAGUAGGUCCCAAGGGUAUGGCUGUUCGCCAUUUAAAGUGGUACGCGAGCUGGGUUUAGAACGUCGUGAGACAGUUCGGUCCCUAUCUGCCGUGGGCGCUGGAGAACUGAGGGGGGCUGCUCCUAGUACGAGAGGACCGGAGUGGACGCAUCACUGGUGUUCGGGUUGUCAUGCCAAUGGCACUGCCCGGUAGCUAAAUGCGGAAGAGAUAAGUGCUGAAAGCAUCUAAGCACGAAACUUGCCCCGAGAUGAGUUCUCCCUGACUCCUUGAGAGUCCUGAAGGAACGUUGAAGACGACGACGUUGAUAGGCCGGGUGUGUAAGCGCAGCGAUGCGUUGAGCUAACCGGUACUAAUGAACCGUGAGGCUUAACCUU